AUCCUGUCAAACUCAUCACCUGUCCUAUAGCUACACCUGAUUUUUAAAACCCAACGGCACUUUUAAGAGCCAACCUCUAUCUCUUUAUUUUCUAUAUCUUACAUCCUCUCUGUUCUCAAUAUCUAUAUUUCUGUCCAUCUCUUCAAUCUUUAUCUAUCUCACAUCUAUUGCUCUUUCUUUUCACCCUGUCUGUCUUUGUCUACCUGUCUUACGCAUCUUUGUCAGUCUGUCUGUCUAUCUGUCUGUCUGUAUCAGUUUGUUAUAAUGCCAGGGGGGUCUAUAAAAAAGAUCUGCCCCUUUUGUCAGGGGAUUUUAUAUUGUGCACAAAAGGUCUGCUCACAUUGCAAAAAGAAAAAACCUCUGAAGCAGCGCCUCAAGAAGAAGCUUCAGAGGUUUGAUGAGAAGCGAGAGGAAUGGGUGGUUGGUCGUAAGAAAAACCACAACUCUGCAUCCAUCAAGGAUGAAGCCAAUGUCAUGCUUGAGAAACUCCAUGCCAUUGGCUACAAGCCAGUUCUGCUACUAGGAAAGGCGAACAAAAAAAAGGAAAUUAAGUGUGAAAUAUUAACGCCUCACUGCACACUCUCCACCUUUGCCCAGGACUACCUACAGAAGAUAGGUUCAUUUUAUGAAUACCUUUGUGAAGGAUGGACCCAGGAUUCCAGUGGCAAUGAGGAUCAGCUGAUAUCUCUGCAGCUCACACCCUGCGAGACGAGCCCCACGGAGUGGCAGGUGGAGCAGGCUGAACCCACAGAGAGGCAGGUGGACCCAUGGGUUACCUUAACUUUACUUGACUUCCAGUCUUUUUCCCCCAUAGAGCUUGAUGCAGGUUAG
rnacentral:lncRNA from 12 species